rfam:Streptomyces sp. WM6368 P399contig295.1, whole genome shotgun sequence.
UUCGGUGGUCAUAGCGUUAGGGAAACGCCCGGUUACAUUCCGAACCCGGAAGCUAAGCCUUUCAGCGCCGAUGGUACUGCAGGGGGGACCCUGUGGG